rnacentral:ncRNA from 1 species
UACCUGGUUGAUCCUGCCAGUAGUCAUAUGCUUGUCUCAAAGAUUAAGCCAUGCAAGUCUAAGUACGAGCUCUCGUACAGUGAAACUGCGAAUGGCUCAUUAAAUCAGUUAUGGUUCAUUUGAUCGUACAGUUUAAUUGGAUAACUGUGGUAAUUCUAGAGCUAAUACAUGCGAGAAGCGCCGACCUCGCGGGAGGCGUGCAUUUAUCAGACCAAAAACCGGCCGCGUCUUCGGGCGCGUUCGCCUUGGUGACUCUGGAUAACUUUGCGGAUCGCACGGUCUAGCACCGGCGACGGAUCAUUCAAGUGUCUGCCCUAUCAACUUUCGUCGGUACGGUAUUUGCCUACCGAGGUUCUUACGGGUGACGGGGAAUCAGGGUUCGAUUCCGGAGAGGGAGCCUGAGAAACGGCUACCACAUCCAAGGAAGGCAGCAGGCGCGCAAAUUACCCAUUCCCGACGCGGGGAGGUAGUGACGAAAAAUAACAAUGCAGGACUCGUUCGAGGCCCUGUAAUUGGAAUGAGUACACUUUAAAAGCUUUAACGAGUAUCCAUUGGAGGGCAAGUCUGGUGCCAGCAGCCGCGGUAAUUCCAGCUCCAAAAGUAUAUAUUUAAGUUGUUGCGGUUAAAAAGCUCGUAGUUGGAUUUUGGGCGCAGGCGGCCGGUCCGUCGCAAGGCGUGUACUGGACGUCCUGGCCUUCCCUCCGGUUCUCCGCCGGUGCUCUUGACAGAGUGUCGGCGGCGGCCGGAACGUUUACA